UACGAAGGGGGCUAGCGUUGUUCGGAAUUACUGGGCGUAAAGCGUGCGCAGGCGGCUUCUCAAGUCAGUGGUGAAAGCCCGGAGCUCAACUCCGGAAUUGCCAUUGAAACUGUGGAGCUUGAGGACGAGAGAGGUGAGUGGAAUUCCAGGUGUAGCGGUGAAAUGCGUAGAUAUCUGGAGGAACACCGGUGGCGAAGGCGGCAUCCUGGACCGAUACUGACGCUGAGGAGCGAAAGCCAGGGGAGCAAACGGG
rnacentral:rRNA from 1 species